AUGUAUGGGACUGAAAGACCCCCGAAGGGAGACCCUCACUCAAGCCUCGGGACAGCCGCGGACCCAAGAAGACACUGAGACCG
rnacentral:pre_miRNA from 7 species